rnacentral:rRNA from 1 species
AUUGAACGCUGGCGGCAGGCCUAACACAUGCAAGUCGAGCGGAGCGGCGGACGGGUGAGUAAUGACUAUGAAUCUGCCUGGUAGUGGGGGAUAACGUCCGGAAACGGGCGCUAAUACCGCCAACGAUCAGAUGAGCCUAGGCCGGAUUAGAUAGUUGGUGGGGUAAAGGCCUACCAAGGCGACGAUCCGUAACUGGUCGGAGAGGAUGAUCAGUCACACUGGAACUGAGACACGGUCCGGACUCCUACGGGAGGCAGCAGUGGGGAAUAUUGGACAAUGGGCGAAAGCCUGAUGCAGCCAUGCCGCGUGUGUGAAGAAGGUCUUCGGAUUGUAAAGCACUUUAAGUUGGGAGGCGUUACCAACAGAAUAAGCACCGGCUAACUUCGUGCCAGCAGCCGCGGUAAUUC